GUUCGGUGGAAACGAGAAUAAAACGUGAAGGAUAACGUUGCGUCAGCAACGGCCCGUAGGGCGAGGCGAAGCCGAGUCAUCCUGCACGACCCACCA
rnacentral:sRNA from 20 species